UGUUGGUAUCUUAGUGGCGGACGGGUGAGUAACGCGUGGGUAACCUGCCUUACACUGGGGGAUAACACUUAGAAAUAGGUGCUAAUACCGCAUAACAGGGAAAGAUGCAUGUCUUUUCCUUGAAAACUCCGGUGGUGUAAGAUGGACCCGCGUCUGAUUAGCUGGUUGGCGGGGUAACGGCCCACCAAGGCGACGAUCAGUAGCCGGCCUGAGAGGGUGAACGGCCACAUUGGGACUGGGACACGGCCCAAACUCCUACGGAAGGCAGCAG
rnacentral:rRNA from 1 species